rnacentral:rRNA from 1 species
GAUGAACGCUGGCGGCGUGCCUAAUACAUGCAAGUCGAGCGAACGGACGAGAAGCUUGCUUUUCUGAUGUUAGCGGCGGACGGGUGAGUAACACGUGGAUAACCUACCUAUAAGACUGGGAUAACUUCGGGAAACCGGAGCUAAUACCGGAUAAUAUUUUGAACCGCAUGGUUCAAAAGUGAAAGACGGUCUUGCUGUCACUUAUAGAUGGGUCCGCGCUGCAUUAGCUAGUUGGUAAGGUGACGGCUUACCAAGGCAACGAUGCAUAGCCGACCUGAGAGGGUGAUCGGCCACACUGGAACUGAGACACGGUCCAGACUCCUACGGGAGGCAGCAGUAGGGAAUCUUCCGCAAUGGGCGAAAGCCUGACGGAGCAACGCCGCGUGAGUGAUGAAGGUCUUCGGAUCGUAAAACUCUGUUAUUAGGGAAGAACAUAUGUGUAAGUAACUGUGCACAUCUUGACGGUACCUAAUCAGAAAGCCACGGCUAACUACGUG